AUGUACAAAUGGCAGUACAGAAGAAGAAAAAAUGUAUCGGUUAACAAACUAGCCACGCGCCGGCGGCGGUUCUGGCGCCGCGCGUACGGGAGAAGGGAACGGUAUCCGUUUCGGGUUUCUGGCCUUGGUCGCAUGCCGAGAGCCGAGGGAUCAGGGGUAGUGCGGCCUACACUAGGGCACUGCACCACCUACUGGCAGCGGUACUGGACCGUAGGAAUGGGCGGCGGCCCCAGGAUCUGGGGGCGCUUUUACCGCCUCGAGAUCUGCCCUGCCCCCGGUGCAGUGGCUCGCCGCGUGGUAGAGCCCACCUCCGCACUGCCGCCGAGCCCAACCACGGUUUGCUGCGGCCAGCCACCGGCACCGGCGGCUCGUCGCAAACCACGGGCUGCCUCAGCGCCUCGUCUCCUGAUGAUGUCGCUGGAAACAUAA
rnacentral:rRNA from 1 species